rnacentral:rRNA from 1 species
AGUCGAACGGAAAGGCCCUUCGGGGUACUCGAGUGGCGAACGGGUGAGUAACACGUGGGUGAUCUGCCCUGCACUUCGGGAUAAGCCUGGGAAACUGGGUCUAAUACCGAAUAGGACCGCAUGCUUCAUGGUGUGUGGUGGAAAGCUUUUGCGGUGUGGGAUGGGCCCGCGGCCUAUCAGCUUGUUGGUGAGGUAAUGGCUUACCAAGGCGACGACGGGUAGCCGGCCUGAGAGGGUGACCGGCCACACUGGGACUGAGAUACGGCCCAGACUCCUACGGGAGGCAGCAGUGGGGAAUAUUGCACAAUGGGCGCAAGCCUGAUGCAGCGACGCCGCGUGAGGGAUGACGGCCUUCGGGUUGUAAACCUCUUUCGCCAGGGACGAAGCGCAAGUGACGGUACCUGGAGAAGAAGGACCGGCCAACUACGUGCCAGCAGCCGCGGUAAUACGUAGGGUCCGAGCGUUGUCCGGAAUUACUGGGCGUAAAGAGCUCGUAGGUGGUUUGUCGCGUUGUUCGUGAAAACUCACAGCUUAACUGUGGGCGUGCGGGCGAUACGGGCAGACUUGAGUACUGCAGGGGAGACUGGAAUUCCUGGUGUAGCGGUGGAAUGCGCAGAUAUCAGGAGGAACACCGGUGGCGAAGGCGGGUCUCUGGGCAGUAACUGACGCUGAGGAGCGAAAGCGUGGGGAGCGAACAGGAUUAGAUACCCUGGUAGUCCACGCCGUAAACGGUGGGUACUAGGUGUGGGUUUCCUUCCUUGGGAUCCGUGCCGUAGCUAACGCAUUAAGUACCCCGCCUGGGGAGUACGGCCGCAAGGCUAAAACUCAAAGAAAUUGACGGGGGCCCGCACAAGCGGCGGAGCAUGUGGAUUAAUUCGAUGCAACGCGAAGAACCUUACCUGGGUUUGACAUGCACAGGACGCCGGCAGAGAUGUCGGUUCCCUUGUGGCCUGUGUGCAGGUGGUGCAUGGCUGUCGUCAGCUCGUGUCGUGAGAUGUUGGGUUAAGUCCCGCAACGAGCGCAACCCUUGUCUCAUGUUGCCAGCACGUUAUGGUGGGGACUCGUGAGAGACUGCCGGGGUCAACUCGGAGGAAGGUGGGGAUGACGUCAAGUCAUCAUGCCCCUUAUGUCCAGGGCUUCACACAUGCUACAAUGGCCGGUACAAAGGGCUGCGAUGCCGUGAGGUGGAGCGAAUCCUUUCAAAGCCGGUCUCAGUUCGGAUCGGGGUCUGCAACUCGACCCCGUGAAGUCGGAGUCGCUAGUAAUCGCAGAUCAGCAACGCUGCGGUGAAUACGUUCCCGGGCCU